GGCUGUGUGUCCACACUCACUGGAUGCAGCAUCCAAUGCUGACCCUCUGCAGCAGGGUACACAAGUGGACACACAGUC
rfam:PREDICTED: Drosophila virilis uncharacterized LOC6626562 (LOC6626562), mRNA